rnacentral:rRNA from 1 species
GAUGAACGCUGGCGGCGUGCCUAAUACAUGCAAGUCGAGCGAACGGACGAGAAGCUUGCUUUUCUGAUGUUAGCGGCGGACGGGUGAGUAACACGUGGAUAACCUACCUAUAAGACUGGGAUAACUUCGGGAAACCGGAGCUAAUACCGGAUAAUAUUUUGAACCGCAUGGUUCAAAAGUGAAAGACGGUCUUGCUGUCACUUAUAGAUGGAUCCGCGCUGCAUUAGCUAGUUGGUAAGGUAACGGCUUACCAAGGCAACGAUGCAUAGACGACCUGAGAGGGUGAUAGGCCACACGGGAACUGAGACACGGACCAGACUCCUACGGGAGGCAGCAGUAGGGAAUCUUCCGCAAUGGGCGAAAGCCUGACGGAGCAACGCCGCGUGAGUGAUGAAGGUCUUCGGAGCGUAAAACUCUGUUAUUAGGGAAGAACAUAUGUGUAAGUAACUGUGCACAUCUUGACGGUAACGAAUCAGAAAGCCACGGCUAACUACGUG